AUCGCUCCCCAGCGAACUCGCUGCUCUCAGGGACCAGUACCCAGGACGCUGUGCAGGAGGUCAAGGACAGCGAGUCAGAGAGAUAACAGAUAUAUGCUGGGGACAAGAGGAUGGAAAAGUAGGCAGAUUCUCAAGGGGAGUUGACAUUUCAAGAAGAGAACAAGAUAGGUUUGUUUCAGGCUCUGAGCUGAUGGAAAGUGUUUGGGACAUACUGUGA
rnacentral:lncRNA from 1 species